CCUAAACCUAUAGUUGUGACACUGACAUCAACAACAAAAAAAAACAUAAUCGGCAAGCGCCGCCAAGCUCUGCAAACUCAUUCCUUAAAAAGAGAUCGAGCAAAGAGCCACUUUGGUGAAACAAAAAAGUUGUGUUGGAUUCAGAGGUCUGAAUCUGUUGUUACACUGAUGGGGUUCGAAGAUCUCUACUGUUAGAUUGAUUCAGCAUCCUGUCACACCUUAAGGUACUUUACAGCUAAUUCUUCCUUUGAGUAGCCAGUAGCGCUAGGUUGGGACUAGAUAUGAGAUUAAGAUUGACUAGUUGGUUUAAUGACAAUAUCUUCGAUGAUACGGUGUCUCGUCUCAACCUCUCUGUUUUUGGUUUCAUUGGAAUACAUACGGCUGUUUUCAAGUUGAGACGACAUGGCUUUGUGAUUUUUCUCUCCAAGCGAAUGGUGAUACUCAAACUAUCCAUAAUCUAUAUAUAUUGAGAAAGUCACUUUUUGAGAUGAUGAAAUUUUGUUUGUUUUUUAGCACCAUUAGCUUGAAACACUUGGUUUUAUGGAUUUUAUCUCAAAUGGAAGAUUUAUGUGGGAUAGUUUGAGUUGAUCAGAUGGUAGAAAUGGGAUAUAGAUCUAUGUUUUAGUCUUUACCAUAUCAAAAAGUUGUAGAUUUAGUUGAUCGAAUGGUAGAAACAUAGGUCAUCAAAUCCUAUAUUGAUAUUCAAGUAUACGCAAAAGAGUAAGAUGGAUCUUGAUAUAUCAUUGAGAUAGUGGGCGUAUAUGAGCAUAUCCAAAAGAGUGAGAUGGAUUCUGAUCAUCUUUCUAGUAGUAGACAUAUUCUAGGAUAUGCAAAAGAGUAAGAUACAUGGUUGUGAUAAAGGAAAUUACAAAAGACAAGUGAUUUUGCAAGAAAGAAGAUGCCUAAGCUAAGAUGUUUAUGUGAGUGUGUCUAGGAGAUCAAUACAUGAGUUCUUCACUUGUAAUUUUCUCUUAUCAUUGUACUGGUCUUUUGGCCGAGUCUUAUGUUGUAUGAAGUUUCAUUAUUAAAAGCAAAAUUUCUUCUU